GUUUCCGGGAUUUCUCUGUAGGUGAGGCGGGAGGCUGGAGGGAGCUGGAGGGAGCUGAGCCCCCGGGGAGGGGGCCCGAUUCCGCCUCGCCGCGCCUCUGGCUGCUGGGCCGUGGGUUUUUCUCUUCUCCUGGGAGUAACGAGGACGACGGCCCCUAACCCCUGAAUUAGCCUUCUAUUUCCAUUAGUGACUUAGAAGCUACCCGGCGCCUCAUCUGGGCUCACCUGAGCUGAGGAUCAGGAAGGGGAGGGGGCACAGUCAUUGCCUCGCGGGCGCUGCGGGACCCCAGCGGACGGCUUUGUGCGGACUUUCGGAACCGUUAUGCGCCCCUAGCCCGACACCACCUGGGGCUGGCGCGCCACGUGGGCCAGACCCACCGCCCUGCCUGCUCCGGGGAGCCGGACCUCCGAUCCCGGGGAUGGGGGACCCCGAGACCUCAGACCCAACGGAGGGGACUCUGAUACCUCAGACCCCACGCGGGGACCCCGAGGCUUCAGACCCCCACAGGGUGACCCCGAGAUCUCAGACCCCUGCAGGAGGACCUCGAGACCGCAAAUCCCCAGUAAGGGAGUGAAUGAGACUUCGGAUCCCUGAGGCAGCAAAUCCCUGUGGGGGCAUCCCAUGACUCAGGUCACCGCGGGGUGAAUCCAGACCUCACAUUCAGGCAAUCCCCAGGACGCCGAUCGGCUGGCACUACCCACUGUCCCGGUCACCCCCUCCCUGGAGCUGAAAGGCUUGGCCCUCCAGCUGCUCCACCCUGCCGGCUCCCAGGCUCAAACCUCCAGCCCGCCGAUCCCCUGCCCCGGAAGCAACCAGAUUCGCGGGAGGUUACCUGACUAAUCCAAGGCAGGGUCUCACUCCGUUGCCCAGGCUGGAAUGCAGUGGUGUAAUCACAGCUCACUGCAGCCUCAACCUCCUGGACUCAAAGGAUAAGAUCUGCUUUUAAUUAAUUUUUGUAUACGGUAUGGGAUAGGGACCAAAGUUCAUCGUUUUGCAUGUAUACAUAUCCAAAUGUUCCAGCAUCAUUUGUUAAAAAGUUGUUUUUUUCUCUACUGCAUUUCCUUUGUGCUUAAGUCAAAAUCUGUGUUGCAUAUGUAUGUGUUUCAUUUUAGGCUUCCUAUUCUGUUCCAUUGAGCUAUUUGUCUUUUUGCCGCCAGCACCAUGCUGUUUUGAUUAUUGUAGCUAUAUAAAUAAGUGAUGAAAUCAGGUAGUUUAUGUCCUACAAUUUUAUUUUUAUUUUUCAAGGUUAUUUUGUAUCUUCUAGAUUCUUCAGAUUUCCUUGUAAAUCUUAGAGUCGACUUGUCAUUUUGCACAAAAAAAGACUGCUGGGAUUUUGAUUGAGAUUGUGUUGACUCUACAGAUCAAUUUGGGGAGAAUUGACAUUUUAACCAUAUUGAAUCUUCUGACCCAUUAACAUUUAGGUCUUUUAAAAUUUCUCUGGCCAGACGCGGUGGCUCACGCCUGUAAUCCCAACACUUUGGGAGGCCGAGGCGGGCCGAUCACAAGGUCAGGAGAUUGAGACCAUCCUGGCUAACACAGUGAAACCUCGUCUCUACUGAAAAUACAAAAAAUUAGCCGGGCGUUGUGGUAUGCGCCUGUAGCCCCAGCUACUCAGAAGGCUGAGGGCAGGAGAAUGGCUUGAACCCGGGAGACAGAGCUUGCAGUGAGCAGAGAUCUUGCCACUGCACUCCACGUGGGGCAACAGAGUGAGACUCCAUCUCAAAAAAAAAAAUCUCUUAUAACUUUUGUUAGAUUUUAACCUAAGUAUUUGUUUUUUUAUUUUGUUCUUUUUUUCUUUCUUUUUUUCUUUUUUUUUUUUGAGACAGGAUCUCACUCUGUCACCCAGGCUGGAGUGCAAUGGUGUGAUCAUGGCUCAUCUUGAAGCCUCGACCCUCCUGGACUCAAGCUAUCUUCCCACCUCAACCUCCUGAGUAGCUGGGACUACAAGUACACAUGACCAUGCCCAAUUAAUUUUUUAAAUUCCUUGUAGAGGCGGAGUCCCACUAUGUUGCCCAGGCUGGUCUCGAACUCCUGGGCUCAAGCAAUCCUCCUGCCUCAGCUUCCCAAAGUGUAGGGAUUACAGGCAUGAGCCACUGUGCAAGGUCUUGUGUUUUUUGAUAUAUUGCAAAUAGUGAUUUUUUCAUUUGUUUCUGAUUGUUGCUAAUAUAUGGAAAUAUAGUUGAUAUCUGCAAUUGAUCUCAUGUCCUGAAAACUUGCUAAAUCUGCUUAAUAAUUUUUUGUACAUUCAAAAUGAUGUUCUACAGGUAGUCAUAUUGUCUAUGUUGGAAGGAAAGCUUUUCCUCGUUCAAUGUGGGUCCUGGGUUUGAGGACCUGCAAAUUAACUGAUAACAAUAGGUUAACAGGAGAAAAGACAAGGUUUAGAGUAACUCACUGAAUAGAAAUAAAGGUUUAUAGAUCCACUUAACAAAAUGUGUUGGGAGAUUUUGGAGUUUCAGUAGGAAGUUGUGGAAGGUUCUUUUGGGCUUUUGGAUGCUUAUGAGAAUGGGCAAUCUGUCUCUACAGUAGUGGAAUUUACAGGAAACUUCCUCGGAGGGAGGCCAAUGGCAGCUGUAUUUUCUGGAGGCUCUGCUUUAGUGAAAUAAGGGAAGUUCAAAUAAAAUUUCUUGAUGCGUCUUUUUUAGGUCAAAUAUUUUCACAGUAAAAUAAUCUUUAUACCAACUUUUAGGGCCUGAAUGGUCCACACAUUUCUCCAUCUGAAACUUCCCUAGAAAUUUCAUUAAAAAAAAAAAAAGAAGCUAAGUUGAUUGCUGUGGGGAGAUGAUUUGAGUUAGAAAUUGUAAGAUGAGACAUCUGCAAAAGGGGGAAAAACAUAGAUUAGAACAAGGAAACAAAAACAAUGAUUAAUGUUCAGAGCAGACGAUAAACCCAGUCUAGAGGGUAAGCCAGUUAUGAAAUUUUCUAGAUUUUGGGCUCCAGCCAUCUUUAGUGAGGAUGGUAGUGGUAGGUAGUGUCGCCAUCAUGGUUAUUUCCUAGAGCACAGUCUGGAAGAUGCAGGUGUUCUGGGGAAAUAUUUGAAAGACCCAAGUGUUGUGAUAAGUCUUUUGAAGUUUCUAUCUAGCCAUCCAGCUUCAGCUUGCAAGGCUUUGAGAAGGAAGCAGUUUUAGUUCUCAAUGACAUCAAGUCAGUAGAGUGGGAGGAAAAUUGGAAAUACUCAUUACUGACAAAAUGUGUAAGAUGGCAGGAUCCAGGUUUUGUUUUGUUUUUUGUUUUGUUUGUUUGUUUGUUUGUUUUUGAGACAGAGUAUCACUCUUGUUGCCCAGGCUGGAAUGCAGUGGUGCAAUCUCGGCUCACUGCAACCUCCGCCUCCCGGAUUCAAGCAAUUCUCCUGCCUCAGCCUCCCAAGUAGCUGGGAUUGUGGGCUAAUUUUGUAUUUGUAGUAGAGAUGGGGUUUCUCCAUGUUGGUCAGGCUGGUCUCGAACUCCCGACCUCAGGUGAUUCCCCGGCCUUGGCCUCCCAGAGUGCUGGGAUUACGGGCGUGAGCCACCGUGCCUGACCGGCAGGAUCCAGCUUUUAAAGAGGUAAAAAAAUUGCUCAAAGACAAUGAACAAGACUAGAGUCUGAUAACUCACACAACUGGGUUAUAGUUUGCCAUUGAAACAUAAAAUUUCUCUGUAUAAUUACUACCACUGAGAUCAAACAUAAACAAAGUAAGAUUACUCUUGUUUACAAAGUAAGUCUUGUCUCAUUAACUUUGGCCUGAUCAUUUACAUAAGUCCAGCAAGAAUAAUAAUUGACCACAGGAGCCUUUUUAAGUUUGCUUGGCUGCAACUUUUAUAAGGAAUCUCAGAUUAGAGUUUUAAGACUACACCUACACAGCCAGGCGUGGUUGGUCACGCCUGUAAUCCCAGCACUUUGGGAGGCCGAGGCGGGUGGAUCACAAGGUCAGGAGUUCGAGACCAUCCUGCCUAACCGGGUGAAACCCCGUCUUUACUAAAAAUACAAAAAAAUUAGCCCGGCGUACUGGCAGGUGCCUGUAGUCCCAGCUACUCAGGAGGCUGAGGCAGGAGAAUGGCAUGAACCCGGGCGGCAGAGUUUGCAGUGAACCAAGAUUGCGCCACUGCACUCCAGUCUGGGGUACAGAGCGAGACUCCAUCUCAAAAAAAAAAAAAAAAAAAAAAAAAAGACUACACCUACACUAUCUGUAGUUUCAGAUAGAGAAAUGUGGGGAUCCUUUCAGACCCUAAAACUGUUGCCCUUCUUGAGGUUUCCAAAACAUCUUAAGGCCCUGGGCCUGCCAGUAAGUGACCCAUCUUACUCACCUGUAAGCCUGGAACCCUGUAAGUCAGGUAAGGCACCAGGUCAAUUAUUUCAAGAGAGCUUUGUAAGCAUUGGCUCCAUCAAGUCAACCUUAGUUUCUUAAAAAUGUAUGGCCACGUCUAAUUCUGUGCACAUCAGUCUCAAAUAUGUCCUUCUAGUCAAAGUCUUGGUAACAUAAUCAAUUUUUCCAAAUAAUGUCCUUUUUUAAGGAGAACAGAUUCUUCUUGAAUUUAUGCAAACAACUAUAUUGCCAUGAGAACAGGAAUAUUCAAUAAGAAUUGACAAAUUUUAGAGGAAGCAGGGAGAAAAAGAUAAAUUUUUCAUUUCUACUUAUGAAAGUUUAUUAAAUUGUUAUCAUUUGUGGAUAGCUUAAGAAAAAAGAGAAAUCAAAGGAUGUAUCACAACAGUUUGGGGUUUUCAAUUAUUUCUCCAGAACACUUGCAUCUUCCAGGCUGUGCUCCAGAAAAUAACCAUGACUCCAGCGUACCACUACCAUCCUCACUAAAGACGGAACCCCACAUCUAGAAAACCUCGUGACUGGCUUGCCCUCUGGACUUAAAAAAACUGUGUUUAUAUUCUGCUCUGAACAUUAAUCAUUGUUUUUAUUUUGUUUCCUUGUUCUAAUCUAUGUUUUUUCCCUUCUAUUCAGGACAUAGGACAUUCAAGAACCAGCAAUGUUUCAAACAAAGGCCAUUUAAAAAAUCAUAACCAUUGUUUAUCAGUCACCUCAGUUCCAUAUGAUUAAUUCUGGUCUUGCUUGAUCUUGGAUUAGCAGUAUCAUGAACCCAUCAGCUUUUCAACUAGAGUUCUGGAAAUCCUUCCUCAGUGCAGUGGUAUGAGAUUAAAGUUAUUUAAGCAAUGUCAUCAGAAGCCUGUACCCCACAGUACUGUUACAGGCCUUUCCAUGGGUCUUAGAGAAACAGUCCUUUUUGUUGAAGAUGAAGUAUUCUGGCUAAUAACUGAUCGCUAGAGCUUUCAGGAAAGUAUCAGAGUAAAAUAAUAACUGUGAAUGACAAAAAGCCAAAAAUGGCCAUGGUAAAGAUCGGAUGAAGGUUUAUUUUAAUUCUGUUAACAAGGAAAAUCAGUUUUUUUGUGGCAUACAUUUAAAAUCAUAACUGUAAUCAUGACUGAUAAUAUUAUGCCAGGACAUAUUAUGGUUAUCAAGGGCACUGACAAAUUUCUAGGAACUUCAUUCAAUUUCUGAAAUAAUAACAUUUAUCCAUGCAAAUACCACCUAAGGAAGGUUAAGUAUCUUUUCUUGACAGUGAGUGCCUCCCAUGCAAUUUAACAUAUUGAAUAAACCUAAUUAGUUUAACAUCUCUCUUUUUACAAAAUGAGAGAACAAAUAUUUUGAGAUUUUCUAGGGACCCUUUGGAAAAUCUCAAAGUUAAAAAAAUUUCUUUUAGAAUUUCAUUUGGGGAAGUUGUCAAAAAUGCCAAAAGCUUUGAACACUUGAUUAAAUAGGAUCACAGGUCACUGUGAAACAUCACUUAAUUAUCCAUUUAAUUAAAGUGACAAUAAAAAUAGCCAUAGGAGAUUUUAUGAUUGUAAGAAAAAAAUAGCUUUUUUUUAAGGUGAGAAGAUUUAGUUGUCUUAAAUAAUCAGAGACAUGAUAAAGCACCAGAAAUUAUUCUAAUAAAACACAGUCACUGAUUUCUAGGUAGUAUUAAUGAAAGAAAAUGUUCUUAAAGUUGUUGAAACAGUAAAUACUUUUUUUUUUUUUUUUAAUUUAAGACAGGAGUUUUAUUAUUACUCAAAUCAGUCUCCCCAAGGAGCAUCCAGGGAUCAGAGUUUUGAAGGAUAACUUGGUGGGCCGGGGGCAGCCAGUGAGUCAGGAGUGCUGAUUGGUCAGGUUGGCAAUGAAAUCACAGGGAGUCAAAGCAGUCUUCUUGCGCUGAGUCAGUUCCUGGGUGGGGGCCACAAGAUCAGAGGAGCCAGAUUAUCCAUCUGGGUAGUGCCAGCUGAUCCAUCAAGUGCAGGGUCUGCAAAAUAUCUCAAGCACUGAUCUUAGGAGCAGUUUUGGGAGGGUCAGAAUCUUCUAGCCUCCAACUGCAUGACUCCUAAACCAUAAUUUCUAAUCUUGUGGCUAAUUUAUGAGUUCUACAAAGGCAGUCUAGUCCCUAGGCAAGAAGGAGGUUUGUUUUUGGAAAGGACUGUUAUUCUCUUGGUUGUAAACUAUAAACACUAAGCUAAGUUCCUCCCAAAGUUAGUUCAGCCUAUGCCUGGGAAAGAACAAGGACAGCGUGGAGGUUAGAAGCAAGAUGGAGUUGGUUAGGUCAGAUCUCCUUCACUGUCCCAGUUACAAUUUUGCAGUGGCUGUUUCAAUCCCUCCCUUUGGUUUUUUUGUUUGUUUGUUUUUGGUGCGAUUUCGGCUUACCGCAACCUCCACCUCCCGGGUUCAAGCAAUUCUCCUGCCUCAGCCUCCCGAGUAGCUGGGACUACAGGCAUGCACCACCACGCCUGGCUAAUUUGUUGUAUUUUUAGUAGAGAUGGGGUUUCACCAUGUUGGCCAGGCUGGUCUCGAACUCCUGACCUCAAGUGAUCCACCUGCCUUGGCCUCCCAGAAUGUUGAGAUUAUAACCAUAAGCCACCGCUCCCAGACUCCUUUUGGAUUUUAUAACACCUUAAUCUUAAGGUGUUGGCUAAUGAAAAUUGAAAAAGGGCGAAGGCUGCUCUAACUUCUUCCUGCCGAUCUGAGGCAUAGUAGGGGUAGGCGUUAACCCCAAAGUGAGAGAAGUGGAACUGCUCUGCAUUUGUGUGAGCGUACUCAUGCAGGCCUCGCUGGGGUUCCAAGGCUCGCAUGGCAAAGGCAUUAGUAUUAACAUCUAUAGUUUUAGUACUGCAUUUGAGGGAACAGUGACUAUCAGGUAGAUAAUGAAUACUAGGGUGAGGAGUGCAAUUCCCAGUUUCAAAAGUAAAGAUUUGAAAACAUUAGUUUGGGGACUUACAGCCCACAAAGAAUUUAGGAUUUAGUCCAAACUGAAGAAAAAAUUCAAGAACAGCUAACAACAGGUGUACUGUAAGUUUUGUUUUUUUUUAGACGGAGUGUCACUCUGUUGCCAGGCUGAAGUGUAGUGGCAAGAUCUGUGCUCCUGCCUCAGUCUCCCAAGUAGCUGGGACUACAGGUGCAUGCACACCACCAUGCCCAGCUAAUUUUUGUAUUUUUAGUAGAGAUGGGAGUUCUCCAUGUUGGCCAGGAUGGUAUCAAUCUGUUGACCUCGUGAUCCAACUGCCUUGGCCUCCCAAAGUGCUGGGAUUACGGGCAUGGGCCACCACGCCCAGCCUAUAAGUUUUUUUUAAGUAUAAUUUUUCUCUUUCCAAUCCUCAUUUUUUUUUUCUUUUUUUUUUUUUUUUUUUGAGACGGAGUCUCACUCUGUUGACCAGGCUGGAGUGCAGUGGCGCAAUCUUAGCUCACUGCAAGCUCUGCCUCCCGGGUUCACGCCAUUCUCCUGCCUCAGCCUCCCGAGUAGCUGGGACUACAGGCGCCCGCCACCACGCCCGGUUAAUUUUUUGUAUUUUUAGUAGAGACGGGGUUUCACCAUUUUAGCCAGGAUGGUCUCGAUCUGCUGACAUCGUGAUCCGCCUGCCUCGGCCUCCCAAAGUGCUGGGAUUACAGGUGUGAGCUACCGCACCUGGCCCCCCAAUCCUCAUUUUUAUUAAAAACAAAUAAUGAUAGGACUGAUUGGUUUGCAAAAUAAACUUUCAUUGUACUUGGCCUGGUUAUUUGCAUAAAGCACAGCAAAAAUAAUUAUUUUUCACGUAGGAUUUUAAAAUUGGCUUUGAUGGAGCUCUGUUCUAUAAGGAAUCUCAGAUAAGACUUUUUAAAAGCUGAGCCCUGCCAUGGGUUUAUACCAUCAAAUACCUAUGAGUUAGGUAAAUUAUUCUUCUCUUGAGGUGCCAAGAUAACUUGGGGCUCCUCGGCCUGUUAGAAAGUGACAUUCUUUACUUAUCACAGGUCAGAAACCUUAUACGGGGACUGUGUAAACAAAAUAUGAGGCCAGAUUUCCCAAGAGGCUUUUAUUGGCUCUGUAAAUCAACUUUGAUUCCUUAAAGAAAGCAUGCCAUUCCAGUCAAAGCCUUGGUAAAAUAACCAGUUUCUACAAUCGUGUCCUGUUACAAAAGAAAACAAGAUUCUUAUCGUGCUUAUGCAAAUGUGUAUACUACCAUAAAUUGAGAAUACUCACAAAUAGUUCCCAAAUUCUGGAGAAGUCAGGUAGAAGGAAAUAUGCUCCAAAUUUUGUUCACAGGAGUAUAUUUUACCAAUUGUUAAAGGCUGUAAAUAGCUCAAAAGAUAAGUUUUCUUAGCUCUGGAUAACAAAAAGGAUCAGCAACAUUUUAAGCAAAAAAGUAAAAAAAAAAAAAAAAAAAAAAAA